GAAACAUCCACUUCGAACCAUUGACCCCAGUUAGGAGACCCAUCAGGUUAUCUUCAUAACAAAUGAUGUUUCCUACAUUCCUGCUGCUGAUGUUUGCAGUUACAUCAUGCGUCCACUCUCAGGUUGUUCUCACACAGUCUGAGAGCUCAGUAACAGUGGCUCCAGGUGGAUCCCACAAACUGACCUGUGCCUGCAGUGGAUUCACUGUGGGCAGCUACAGGAUGUACUGGAUCCGUCAGGCUCCUGGGAAAGGACUGGAAUGGAUCAUGCACCACUACACUGACUCUGAUAAAGGUUCAGCCCAGUCAGUUCAGGGCAGAUUCACAGCAUCCAAGGACAGCUCUAAUCUCUACCUGCACAUGAGUCAACUGAAGCCUGAAGACACUGCAGUGUAUUACUGUGCCAGAGACUCACUGUGGUGGAACUCAUACAGACAGCUGUACAAAAACCAUUGCAAGUGA